rnacentral:rRNA from 1 species
GACAUAGGUUGCGAACGUUAUCCGGAAUUAUUGGGCGUAAAGGAUGCGUAGAUGGUUUGAUAAGUUAUCAGUGGUAAAUCGGGGCUCAACCUCGUGGAAGCUGGUAAUACUGUCAUACUUGAGUGCAGGAGAAGUUAACGGAACUCUAUAUGGAGCGGUAAAAUGUGACGAUAUAUAGAAGAACACCAAUAAGGCGAAGGCAGUUAACUAUUCUGUUACUGACAUUGAGGCAUGAAAGCGUGGGGAGCAAAACGG